UACGUAGGGUGCAAGCGUUAAUCGGAAUUACUGGGCGUAAAGCGUGCGCAGACGGUGAUGUAAGACAGUUGUGAAAUCCCCGGGCUCAACCUGGGAACUGCAUCUGUGACUGCAUCGCUGGAGUGCGGCAGAGGGGGAUGGAAUUCCGCGUGUAGCAGUGAAAUGCGUAGAUAUGCGGAGGAACACCGAUGGCGAAGGCAAUCCCCUGGGCCUGCACUGACGCUCAUGCACGAAAGCGUGGGGAGCAAACAGG
rnacentral:rRNA from 1 species